UCGGUGAUGAGCUGAUGUGUGCUCUCCUGUGGGUCCAACCACUGCAGUGUCUCUUCAGCCGCCAGCACAGCCUUCUCGCUGCUCUUCAGCACAAAGGAAGACUGCUGGAAGCGCAGCAUCCGGAGGAGAAGCCUGAGGAGGAAGUGCACGCCAGAGCUGGAGGCAGCUAAGAGGGACUGCAGAAGCCUGAGAGAUGCCUCUGCCAGCUUCUUCCACUCCCAGGGGUUGUAGGGAUGGAGGGAAAUGAGGUGCUGCAGCACUGAUAUCUCCUCCCGGAGUUCCCCGAAGUGUUGACUGAUAGCCAGCUCCAGGUUUAAAACGCAGCUAGUUGGCUCAUCCACUCAGUACAGCAGUCCAGAGCAGAAGCAUAGUUGCAGCAUCUCAUCUUUCAAGCCCACAGCCCAUUUGGAAACUCGUGCCAUAUUGUACUCUCAGGGGUAUGCAGAAAGGAUUACAGACCGAGAUGAUGUUGCUGCACGGGACGUGCCAUGUCGAUGAUUGAACCCCUGGCCAUACAGGAAAAUUCUCACAUGGACUGGGAGUCAUCCCACCCUACAGAUUGCACCACCACAGUCUCCCUCAAGAAACUUCUUUUGAAAACUGAUUCAGUGUAUUACUUUGAAAAACAGUUUAAAUUUCUUCAGAAAUUUCCCUGUGACACAUAAAGGGCUUCCAAAACACCAUAAUCUUCUUUAUGUUUCAUCUCAACCUUGUGACAUUAAGUGCUGUAUUUUGUUAUCUCAGUAUAAUGUUAUAUUGCCCGUGGCCUGGAGUGAGAUUCCUGUCCAUACGCUUAUCUGUUGUGAGAUAAGUAAGUAAAUGAGUAAAUAAGUAAUAUUUUAAGUCUCCCCAGGUACCAGAAAAAUGUGAAUUAACUGUUAGCAGAUAAGGCGAGAUAGCAAAAGUCAAGUAAAAUACGGAGAAGCAGGUAGCAUGGUUCGUAUACUCUCUUACAGUUUUGGAUGAUCUUUUAUCUAUUUCACAGAACAAUAUCAGGAAUGAUCUUUUUUUUAUCUCUUGACUUCUCUGUGUAGAACUGGAGGCAUCCAGCACAGAAAUUGUCUGCCCAAAUGGGACUGAUUUUGACUUUUUAGACACUUUACACUUGGGAAACUUUAUACAAAUUACACAACAGCAAAUCCACAUUCACCUAUUAAUCACCACUUAACACACACUUAUAUAUGUAUAUGUAGUGAGCUCCAUAAUGUUUGGGGAAAAUUUCUUGAUUUAGCUCUGUACACCACAAUUUUAGAUUUUUUUAAAUCAAACAAUUCACCUGUGGUUAAAGUGCACAUUCCCAGCUUUUAUUUAAGGAUAUUUUUUCACCCUGUAGAAAUUACAGCACUUUUUAUACAUAGCCCCCCUAUUUCAGAUCAGAAUAAUAUUUGGGACAUAUUAAUGUCAUGUGAGUACUUAAGUUUAGUACUUUGUCGCAUAUCCUUUGAAUGCAAUGACAGCUUGAAGUCUUUGACCCAUCACCAAGUGCUGAAUAUCUCUGGUGAUACUCUGUCAGGCCUAUACUGCAGCCACCUUCAGCUCCUGUUAGUUUUGGGGGCUAGUUGCCUUAGGUUUCCUGUUCAGCAUGUGACAUGCAUGUUCAACUGGAUUCAAUUCGGGUGACUGACUUGGCCAGUCAAACAUUUUUCAGUUUUUGGUUUUGAAAAACUCCUUUGUUGCUAUAGCAGUACGUUUGGGAUCAUUGUCUUGCUGUAGGAUGAAGUGUCAUCCUAUGCAUUUGGUGGCAUUUGGUUGAACUUAAGUAAUAAGAUGUUUCUGUGCACUUCAAAAUUCUGUUGCUCUCAGCAGUUACAUCAUCAGUGAAGACAAGUGAGCCAGUACCUGUGCUAGCCAUACAAGCCCAAACCAUAACAACCCCACCACCAUGUUUCAGAGAUGCUUUCACGUUGCCCUUGCCAUCACUCUGAUACAAGGGAAUCUUGGACUCAUCUGUCCACAAGACCUUUUUCCAGAACUCUGCAGGCUCUUUUAGGUACAUAUUAGCAAACUGUAACCUGGCCAUCUCAUUUUUGCAGUGAACUAAUGGUUUUCAUCUCACAGUGUAGCCUCUAUAGUUCUGUUCCUGAAGUCUUCUGCAGACAGUAGUCACUGACAGAUCUGCAGUCAUCUACAUCCUCCUAAACAGUGUUUCUGAUCUGUUGGACAGGUGUUUGGGGGUUUUUCUUCAUUAUGUUGAGAACUCUGCGGUCAUCAACUGUAAUGGUCUUCCUUGACUUACCAGGCCCUUUGAGAUUACUGUGCUCACCAGAGCUCUAUUUCUUCUUAAUAAUGUUCCAAACAGUUGAUUUUGGUAGGCCUAAGGUUUGGCCAGUGUUUUCGACUUUUUAAAAAAAUUUCUCCCUCAUAAUGGCCUUCUUGGCACAACUCUUGUCCCCAUGUUGACAAACAGCAAUAACAUACUGAGAAUCAAGACUAGAUACUGAAAGUUGUCUUAUACCUGCACUACAGAAGAAAUUGAACACACCUGGCAAAUCAGAAACACUGGUGAAUUUGUCCCAAACAUUAUGUUGUGCGGAAAUGGGGGGAUUGCGUAUUAAAAAACUGCUGUCAUUUCUACAUGUUCAAACCAAAAUGUAUAAAAUAUGCUCUUCAAUAAAAGUCGAGAAUCUGCACUUUAACAGCAUUUAACCCUUUUUUGUUCACACCCCUGAUAAACAUGUGAAA